rnacentral:rRNA from 1 species
GGAACCUAGCUGGUGGCGUGCUUACACAUGCAAGUCGAACGGUGAAGCCCAGCUUGCUGGGUGGAUCAGUGGCGAACGGGUGAGUAACACGUGAGCAACCUGCCCUCCACUUCGGGAUAAGCCUUGGAAACGGGGUCUAAUACCGGAUAUGAGCGCCUGCCGCAUGGUGGGUGUUGGAAAGUUUUUCGGUGGGGGAUGGGCUCGCGGCCUAUCAGCUUGUUGGUGGGGUAAUGGCCUACCAAGGCGUCGACGGGUAGCCGGCCUGAGAGGGCGACCGGCCACACUGGGACUGAGACACGGCCCAGACUCCUACGGGAGGCAGCAGUGGGGAAUAUUGCACAAUGGGCGAAAGCCUGAUGCAGCGACGCCACGUGAGGGAUGACGGCCUUCGGGUUGUAAACCUCUUUCAGCAGGGAAGAAGCGCAAGUGACGGUACCUGCAGAAGAAGCGCCGGCUAACUACGUGCCAGCAGCCGCGGUAAUACGUAGGGCGCAAGCGUUGUCCGGAAUUAUUGGGCGUAAAGAGCUCGUAGGCGGUCUGUCGCGUCUGGUGUGAAAUCCCAUGGCUCAACUGUGGGCUUGCAUCGGGUACGGGCAGACUAGAGUGCUGUAGGGGAGACUGGAAUUCCUGGUGUAGCGGUGGAAUGCGCAGAUAUCAGGAGGAACACCGAUGGCGAAGGCAGGUCUCUGGGCAGUUACUGACGCUGAGGAGCGAAAGCAUGGGGAGCGAACAGGAUUAGAUACCCUGGUAGUCCAUGCCGUAAACGUUGGGCACUAGGUGUGGGGCCAGUUCCACUGGUUCUGUGCCGCAGCUAACGCAUUAAGUGCCCCGCCUGGGGGAGUACGGCCGCAAGGCUAAAACUCAAAGGAAUUGACGGGGGCCCGCACAAGCGGCGGAGCAUGCGGAUUAAUUCGAUGCAACGCGAAGACCUUACCAAGGCUUGACAUGUACGAGAAAGCCCAGAGAUGGGGUUCUCUUUGGACACUCGUACACAGGUGGUGCAUGGUGUCGUCAGCUCGUGUCGUGAGAUGUUGGUUAAGUCCCGCACGAGCGCACCCUUAUUCUAUGUUGCCAGCGGUUAUGCCGGACUCAUGGGAGACUGCCGGUCACUCGAGAGGUGGGAUGACGUCAAUCAUCAUGCCUUAUGUCUUGGCUCACGCAUGCUACCAUGCCGGUUACAAGGCUGGCAUCGUGAGGUGGACGAUCAAGCGAUUCAGUCGGAUCGACUGGAACUGCACCCGUAGAUCUUCGAGAG